rnacentral:rRNA from 1 species
UACGUAGGGUGCGAGCGUUGUCCGGAAUUAUUGGGCGUAAGGAGCUCGUAGGCGGCUUGUCGCGUCGGAUGUGAAAGCCCGGGGCUUAACUCCGGGUCUGCAUUCGAUACGGGCAGGCUAGAGUUCGGUAGGGGAGAUCGGAAUUCCUGGUGUAGCGGUGAAAUGCGCAGAUAUCAGGAGGAACACCGGUGGCGAAGGCGGAUCUCUGGGCCGAUACUGACGCUGAGGAGCGGAAGCGUGGGGAGCGAACAGG